CUUCCCAAUAGGCAAUAACUAGGCAGAAAUUUCCUCUCUUACUCCCUUAAUGGGAGCAGAAUUGUCCAACUUUACAAUGUAUCCCUUGUAGAAAGUUAAAUGAUUUGUAUUUAAGAUUUCUUACAAAACAGGGAUUGUUAAAAUUUUUCCAUUUGUUUUUAGUCAUUUUUUAAAAUGAGAAUUCCAUCAAGUAUAUUUUUUUCCUUAAGUGUAUAUUUUAAACUCUUACCAUUCACUAUGUUCUAGCAAAAAAAAGGGCUAGUCAAUUUGGCUUCCAGUUACAUUUUCUUCUAGUUUUCCAACCUUAAGCAUUGAUUUAGCUGUGCUAAAACAGAGCACUACUCCAAAAUUCUCCGUUUUAUUUAGUUUUCUAUGAAGUUUAAUGAGAAGCAAUCCUAUUCCAUGCUCAUCCUGUUGAUCUGGCUUGUCUUGGUUCAGUGUUCAUGGCCACUGCAGCUCCAGCAGACACAGUCAGGGGAGGUCUGCAUGUCCCCCAGCUGAGGCAAUUCUAGGUUCCUCUGCACCCUGUGCUCCCCAGAGUGAGGAAUGCAGCAAACUGUGCACUUUCCCCUGGCUCCCUGAUGAAGGGCAACCCUGCAAUGUCCCCAUAUUAAUGCCUAUCAAUCAGGGCUGACAAUUACCACACCUCACCCACUACUGUCAUCGUAUUUCUCUGUAAACCUGUUGUGUAGUAUCAAGUAAAAGCUGGUGACUGGCAAUCAAUUAUAUCAUCAUGUUUUGUGUGUGGGUGCUUACCAGAAGAUUUCAGUGUCUGGAUACCAGCAGGUGUCUUACUUCAGAGGCUGGACCAGCCAGACUCUGAAGUAAGACACCGGACUGCCCGAAGGACCUGGAACUGUACAGAGGUGCCUUUCCGACCUGGCCCAGGAGCCCAUCCUUUGCUGAGUUGGAGUCCCCAGCAAGCCAAAGGGAUGUUGUCAGCCUUCUCUUGCCUUUUCUUUUUAUAUCACCUGUAAUAUCUAAUAAACCUUGCAUUUAUUUGCAUUAAGCAAUUUGUGUCUUCUUGGUUACCCUCCGAGCCUGAGAGCAGAGUCUAGCUGGCCCAGCCUCUGAAAUAAGACAGCAGGUCAUCCGGACUCUUGAGAUGAAGAUUUUUGGGGAAUUAACUAAAGGAAAUAACUUAAGGAACAGAGAGGUCAGCACUAUUUGCAUCUAUGAACGAUGGAUCCCCAGCUCCGUGGAUUAGUGCUGCUGAAAAAGACUGUAGAGGCAGAAGGGCAACAAGGUGACCCGUCAUUCUGGACAACCCAAGAAAACUCUACUAGGCCGCUAAGAAGAAAGAGAAGUUACCAAGUAGAAGAUAAAUAAAGUUAUGAGAAGAGUCACUUCUCAGCUGUGGGCAGGGAGAAGUCUGAGUGCAGUUUCAAGCAGCCGUUUAUGCAAGCUUGUUCUUUGUUACAAAAAAUUCUAUUUUGAUUUCUACACACUAGAGCAGGUUUCCUGAAUUUCACAAGACUGGAUUUUAUUUUGAAAGUCAGACCGAUGGUGGUGUCAAGUUACAUUUCCUGCUUCAUCACCCAACGAUUUCUAUAUCUUUAAGCAAACGCACCAAUCAGUCCCAUAUGAAUGUCACAGCACACUGCAAAAAUAUUAGACUUUUUCAGCACACAUUUACCAAUGCCCCUGAAGUGCCAAUUCAAUAGUACAAGACUAAAAAGCAAUUGUGCUGGGGAACCGGAGGAACGAUGCAUCAGAUGACUCAAUGCCUUACUGCUAGACAACUCAAGAGCAGCCAUUUAUGGAAGAGCAACCUUGUAAGAUUCCUGAAUCCAGAAUGCCUCAAUAAAAAAUUUCAUGUUAGUAUAUGGUUUGCACAGGAUAAGCAAAAAGGGAGGAUAUAUGUACUCUGCAAUUAUCUGAGCUGGGCAACUUUCUAACAGAGAGGGAAUAUAAUGCCCUGGCCAGCCAGUGCUCAUCCAGGAACUUCGAUUGCAAACGUCUGUGGCAGUAUUCAUUGCUGCUGCUCCUGAAACUAGAUUAAUAGAACUCGUAUGUUCAUUUCUGUGUCCCUCCUGAAACUAGAUUAAUAGAACUCAUUUGUUCAUUUCUGUGUCCUUUACUUAUUUGUCUGGUAAAAUACAGAACACCUCUAAUGUCUAUCGUAAAAGAGGGCAGGCUUUCCCUUAAGUUAUAUACAGAGCCCCAUCUUUUCUAGGAUUUUGUAACUGCACUAUUUGCCACAGUCUCAGCCAGUCCUGUGCUUCAGAAUGUAAGGUUCUACUACAAUGAAGUUGCAGCCCUCAAAGUUGUGAAGAAACUACUGAAAAAAAUAAAGUAUCGCUGAGGCAAAUGCUGUCCUAAGCUUGCAAGUAGUUGGAAGCAAAAGCGCCAAGAGGUGUGAAAUUCCUCAUUCAUCUUAAUGGUUUAAUGCAAUGCUGACAAUUUACAUAUGAACACAACUCACUGCUAAUCAGCUUUCAUCUUCACAAGAACAUCCAUCUAAUACGCUUAUUACACAAUUUCAAACUGCCUCUUCAAAAGACCCAACAUGUCCCUUCCCAGUUGCCAAAAUAUACAGCUUGUUCCCUCUGGCUUACAUGAUACAAAUCUGAAUUUUCAGGAUACAAAUCUGCAUGAUAUGAGAAGGGCAGGGAAAAGCAUAGAACUAAAUUGAAUUCAAUAUCAGGAUGAAGGAGCUAAUGAUCCUACUCUAUUUUUCACAUUCAACUACUUUAAACAUUUAUCUGAAGCUGCUGCAUAAUUUUGAGUCUGCCACACCAGAAAGCUACAGAAUCCAGAAGCCUUGCCACAGAAUUCUGGUUCAGCUUGUUGUAAUGCAGGGCUACUCAACACGUGGCCCAUGGGCCGCAUGCGGCCUGCAGCCCAUUUCUUUGCAGCCUGCAGUGCGGUUUGGGUUUACGCGGGGCUCAC